rnacentral:rRNA from 1 species
UCGAGAGGCUUCCACAAUGGGGGAAACCCUGAUGGAGCGACGCCGCGUGGGUGAUGAAGGCCUUCGGGUCGUAAAGCCCUUUCAGUAGGGACGAAAGAGCAUGGUGUUAAUACCACCGAGUUAAGGACGGUACCUACAGAAGAAGCUCCGGCUAACUCCGUGCCAGCAGCCGCGGUAAGACGGAGGGAGCAAGCGUUGUUCGGAUUUACUGGGCGUAAAGGGCGUCUAGGCGGUUCGGCAAGUCAGAUGUGAAAUCCCCCGGCUCAACCGGGGAUCUGCAGUUGAAACUGCUGGACUUGAGUACGGAAGAGGGAGGCGGAAUUCCUGGUGUAGCGGUGAAAUGCGUAGAUAUCAGGAAGAACACCGGUGGCGAAGGCGGCUUCCUGGUCUGUAACUGACACUGAGGCGCGAAAGCGUGGGGAGCAAACA